rnacentral:lncRNA from 1 species
CCAUUAAAAAUAUUAGAAUAAUCACAAAUAUAUCUUAAAUGAAUCUCAACCACAUUCAAAUUUAAUCCAAGUUGAAAUCCUAAUGGAAUUCAAUCAAGUCUUAGACAAAUCCUAAACACAUUUUAAAUCAAAUCCUAAUCCUAAACCAAAUCCUAGACAAAUCCUAAAGCCUGAAUCUAAUCCUACACAAAUUUUAAAUCCUAAAUCAAAUCUUAAAUCAAACCCUAGACAAACCCUAGACAAACCCUAAAUCUUAAACCAAAUCCUAGAUAAAUCCUAAAUCUUAAAUCAAAUCCUAAAUCCUAAACCAAAUCCUAAAUCAAACCCUCGACAAACCCUAUAUCUUAAAUCAAAUCUUAGAAAAAUUCUAAAUCCUA